UCUUGAUUGGUCUAGUGGUUAGGAUACCUGCUUGUCAUUCGAAACGAAGCAAACCGCAGGUGGCCGGGGUUCGAUUCCCCGAUCGAGAG